rnacentral:lncRNA from 1 species
CGUCGCCACAAAGCUAAACACAAAAGCGACACAACAGCUUCCACAUCGCAGAAGAGGUGUUAUCAUUGCCGAGCUAGCCGCCCCAGCGACCCAGCAGCGCCAAAGCGAAAGUCGCCAAAGCCACUGAAGACGAAAACAUCAGCCAAGCCACCGAGGAGCCACUUCCUUCACACGGCCAGCACCAGAACUCCUUGGAAGAGACUGCAACAUGUCAUCGUUGCUAAGCGUCGCCGCACCCCAUCAGCGAGCAGCUUCGACUUCAUCAGCAGAAACAACCGAAGAGCGUGUCACCCACCACAAAAAAGAAGCAGACCCAAGAAGGCAAAGCCUCACCGAACACAAGAUAUGAAAGCUUUUGAACCGAAAAGGACCAUCAACAGUCAUCGAUGCAUUGGAACUUCUCCAAAGCGACGCCCCUAA